rnacentral:rRNA from 1 species
UCCCAUCCCGAACUCAGAAGUGAAACGAUUUAGCGCCGAUGGUAGUGUGGGGUUUCCCCAUGUGAGAGUAGGACAUCGCCAAGC